rnacentral:rRNA from 1 species
CCUACGGGGAGCAGCAGUGGGGAAUAUUGGGCAAUGGGCGCAAGCCUGACCCAGCAACGCCGCGUGAAGGAAGAAGGCUUUCGGGUUGUAAACUUCUUUUAUCAGGGACGAAGCAAGUGACGGUACCUGAUGAAUAAGCCACGGCUAACUACGUGCCAGCAGCCGCGGUAAUACGUAGGUGGCGAGCGUUAUCCGGAUUUACUGGGUGUAAAGGGCGUGUAGGCGGGGACGCAAGUCAGAUGUGAAAACCAUGGGCUCAACCUGUGGCCUGCAUUUGAAACUGUGUUUCUUGAGUACUGGAGAGGCAGACGGAAUUCCUAGUGUAGCGGUGAAAUGCGUAGAUAUUAGGAGGAACACCAGUGGCGAAGGCGGUCUGCUGGACAGCAACUGACGCUGAGGCGCGAAAGCGUGGGGAGCAAACAGGAUUAGAUACCCUGGUAGUC